rnacentral:rRNA from 1 species
GACGAACGCUGGCGGCGUGCCUAAUACAUGCAAGUAGAACGCUGAAGAGAGGAGCUUGCUCUUCUUGGAUGAGUUGCGCACGGGUGAGUAACGCGUAGGUAACCUGCCUGGUAGCGGGGGAUAACUAUUGGAAACGAUAGCUAAUACCGCAUAAAAUUGAUUAUUGCAUGAUAAUUAAUUGAAAGAUGCAACUGCAUCACUACCAGAUGGACCUGCGUUGUAUUAGCUAGUUGGUGAGGUAACGGCUCACCAAGGCGACGAUACAUAGCCGACCUGAGAGGGUGAUCGGCCACACUGGGACUGAGACACGGCCCAGACUCCUACGGGAGGCAGCAGUAGGGAAUCUUCGGCAAUGGGGGGAACCCUGACCGAGCAACGCCGCGUGAGUGAAGAAGGUUUUCGGAUCGUAAAGCUCUGUUGUAAGAGAAGAACGGGUGUGAGAGUGGAAAGUUCACACUGUGACGGUAGCUUACCAGAAAGGGACGGCUAACUACGUG